CUACGGGUGGCACCAGUGAGGAAUAUUGUACAAUGGGGGGAACCCUGAUGCAGCAACGCCGCGUGGAGGAUGACGCAUUUCGGUGUGUAAACUCCUUUUAUAUAUCAAGAAAAUGACGGUAGCAUAUGAAUAAGCACCGGCUAACUCCGUGCCAGCAGCCGCGGUAAUACGGAGGGUGCAAGCGUUACUCGGAAUCACUGGGCGUAAAGGACGCGUAGGCGGGUUGGAAAGUCAGGUGUGAAAUCCUACAGCUUAACUGUAGAACUGCACUUGAAACUUCUAAUCUAGAGUAUGGGAGGGGGAGAUGGAAUUAGUGGUGUAGGGGUAAAAUCCGUAGAUAUCACUAGGAAUACCUAAAGCGAAGGCGAUCUCCUGGAACAUUACUGACGCUAAGGCGUGAAAGCGUGGGGAGCAAACAGGAUUAGAUACCCGUGUAGUC
rnacentral:rRNA from 1 species